rnacentral:lncRNA from 1 species
GCUAAGGUUACUACCCCAGAACCUGAAGCUGUUUUCACCUCUGUGUGUUCCAGUGAAGUCAAUAAUUGUCCAUUACAUGCCCAGAACUGGAUUCCAACAAAGGGAGAAAUGGCAGAAGAAUUUUGACAAACUGAAGGGAUCGGCCCCGCAUAGACAGGAACAGAGAACAUUUGUUUUCUGAGCAAGUGUAUUGUGAGCCUUCCAGAAGAGGCUGCCAGCUUGAAGAAUGCAGCUAGAGCUAGCUCCCCGGAAUGUUUGUACUGCUUGUAUCGGCUAACCAGCUCCCAAGCAGUGUUUUCAUAUUCUAAAUCCUCUAAUGAAGAAUAAUUGUCGAUCGUUGUUCUUCCCAAAUUCUAGGACAGUUGCUUCACAUGUAAAGGAAGUUCAGUUAAAGGACACUAUGAAAGUAAAAAAUGAAACUCUGUUAAGUGCCAAACAUGAAAGAUAGCAUGUCUAUGCUCUGAAAUCUAAAAUGAGUAACCUGGAAAUAAAGAACAUAUUGCAGAAAAACAGAAUACGUAUUUUAAUCAAUAAUCUACAGAAGAAAAGAAAUGAAGAUAUAAUUAAUCAUAAGGUUAGUGUUAUUUACCUAUACUUAGAAAUCAACAAAACUCUUUGCCUCAGAAUCCUUAAAAUUCAAAGUUCAUACCAAGAAAAAAAUGUAAGAGACAAACCAAAAUUGACUUAAAACAGCAUGCAGUGAUUAUGAAAAAAGCCUUUUUUUAGUGCUUUAAAAAAAUGUAAACCAUUUUAGUCAGGUCUUAGCUAAGCUAAUAACUCAAUUCCUGAAGCUCUUGGUUUAUUAGUAUUGUACACCUAGGCCAGAUUAAGACUUGUGAAAAUUUUCCAUUUAUUGCCACUUAUUUGAAAUAAAUUGACUUGGAUUUUUGAGAGAAGAGAGACAGAGAGAAAACGCCUCCUAAGAGGUAAAAAGUUAUCUAACAAAAGAUAGCUUUUCCAUAAAAUACCAUGCAUUUACUGGAAGUAACAGAAAGUAAUGCUUUUUGGAAAAUGGUCCCCAAAAUAAGAAAAAAUUAAAAUAAAGAUGCCAGGUGUGGUGGCUCAUACCUGUAAUCCCAGCACUUUGGG